CAUCCUUGACCAUGCUCGUCGCCCUGAGAUUCGAAACGGACCUGAGCCACGGGACUUGACUCGUUUAGUGUAGUGUAGUGUGUGCCGACCAGUUUCUUUUGAAGACCGAUUGACUUUGACCGUCGGACCUUUGCUUCUCAUCAUAUGAGAGAGAGAGAGAGAGAGAGAGAGAGAGAGAGAGAGAGAGAGAGAGAGAGAGAGACUAAUGGGCAGCACCUCCAGUAAGUACUUAUAAAACAAGCGCCAUUACCGUUCUUGCAUAUACCAUAUGCGCUGCUUUUGAACCCUUGCUUCACACAGCUGUACGUUGCUCUACUAAUCCAAGGAUUAUCAUCGACCGGAGAGAAGAGACGAGACGACCAUGGCGCGCCGCUCCUCCAACUCUUGGUCUUCCUCUCCGGCGCUCCUAGUCGUCGUCCUGGCUGCCUUGCUCAUCUGCUGCCCCAUGCCAUGCUCCGCGGGCAUCCGAAGUGGUGUGUACUACGGUUCUUACGGCGGGCCUCCGGCGCCGCAGGGCGGCCGGCCGGUCCACGCGGGGUGCCCUUGGUGCGGCCCCGCCGCUCCUCAGCCGCCAACGCCGGUGGUGGCAACCGCGCAAGACCGAGCCGCGGCCGCAGAUCAGCAGGGGCGCGGACGGCGUCUGUUAUCUGUCGAGUGAAAAGACCCAUUGGAUGAGCCGACGCUACCUGCCUUGGCGCUGAGGAGCUGAAGAAAUAAGCUCGCCGUCAACUGUUAUCUCGCAUUGACGCUAUAUAUGUGUGUAAUAUGUUUGCCGUUUUGGGCAUUAUGUUAGUAUUUCCUUACGCAAUAAAGGUGCAUGUGACGCUCAGCAAGAAGACAAUCCAUGACUCCAUGCCUUGCUAUAUUUAGAGGUUUUUACAACAUAUGUGUGAUGUUAUAUCUUAUAUGUGACAUAAUAAAUACAGAUGUACUAUAAA